rnacentral:tRNA from 1 species
UACGAUAAAAAACAAACGGUUAUUGUCUGAAGGCAUGUUAAAAGUGGAACCACGGGGCAACUGUGGAUUCGAA